rnacentral:rRNA from 1 species
CGGCAGCACAGUAAGAGCUUGCUCUUACGGGUGGCGAGUGGCGGACGGGUGAGGAAUGCAUCGGAAUCUACUCUGUCGUGGGGGAUAACGUAGGGAAACUUACGCUAAUACCGCAUACGACCUACGGGUGAAAGCAGGGGAUCUUCGGACCUUGCGCGAUUGAAUGAGCCGAUGCCCGAUUAGCUAGUUGGCGGGGUAAGAGCCCACCAAGGCGACGAUCGGUAGCUGGUCUGAGAGGAUGAUCAGCCACACUGGAACUGAGACACGGUCCAGACUCCUACGGGAGGCAGCAGUGGGGAAUAUUGGACAAUGGGCGCAAGCCUGAUCCAGCCAUACCGCGUGGGUGAAGAAGGCCUUCGGGUUGUAAAGCCCUUUUGUUGGGAAAGAAAAGCAGCCGGUUAAUACCCGGUUGUUCUGACGGUACCCAAAGAAUAAGCACCGGCUAACUUCGUGCCAGCAGCCGCGGUAAUACGAAGGGUGCAAGCGUUACUCGGAAUUACUGGGCGUAAAGCGUGCGUAGGUGGUUGUUUAAGUCUGUCGUGAAAGCCCUGGGCUCAACCUGGGAAUGGCGAUGGAAACUGGGCGACUAGAGUGUGGCAGAGGGUAGUGGAAUUCCUGGUGUAGCAGUGAAAUGCGUAGAGAUCAGGAGGAACAUCCGUGGCGAAGGCGACUGCCUGGGCCAACACUGACACUGAGGCACGAAAGCGUGGGGGAGCAAAC